CAACAGUGACUACAGUUGACAACUCGGAGAGUUAAGAUAGCACAGAAUGCCGCCAGGUUGGCUGAUGAGGGGCAAGUCAAGGUGUAUUGAAGUAUUGCCCGAGGCUCCAGCCGUAUUUGUGUGGGACGAUCUCCAAAGUUUGCCAAAUCGCAGGCCGCAGAAAGAGAUGGCAAAGCCGCACGACAGAGAUGGAUGCAGAUGCCGCUUUUGUGGCCCGAAAACGAAAGACAGUUCGACAGUUCAUACCAAUUGACUCGUUUGCCAACACGCGUCUCCAGAAACAGCAACCACUAUCGCAGGGAACAUCCAACAUCCACAGCCAGGGAUGUGACUCCGAAAAAUUGAACCUCAGCUGUAUGUGGUGCAAGACGUCUUUUGGGCGCUGCUGGCCACAAUGUCAAAAAUGUCGCCGGUUUGGUAGUCUGUCAGUCGAUCAGUCCGUCAGUCAGUCACCUCUGAGCAAUAUUGAAGGAAAAUACACACAGGCGUACUCUAACGAACGCAGACACUUGCAAUUUUGUUGCCGUUUUUGUUGUUGGCUUUUUUGCGCGCAUCUAAAAAUAAAGCAACACUGAAAAUGCUAA